AAAUGGACAAGGCCUCUCUACUUGGUGACGCUAUUACUUAUAUCACUGAUCUCCAGAUGAAGAUUAGAGUUUUGGAAACUGAGAAGGAGGUGACUAACAAUAGGCGAAAGCAACCUUCAUUGCCAGAGAUUGAUUUCCAGGCAAGACAGGAUGAUGCUGUAGUGAGGCUGAGCUGUCCUUUGGAUGCUCACCCAGUUUCUAGCAUCCUAGAAACAUUCCAAGAACAUCAAAUUACAGCUCAAGAGUGUAAUGUGUCAGCCACAACGGAGAAUGAUAAGAUUAUUCACACAUUCUCUAUCCGGACGCAAAGUGGUGUUGCUGAGCAGCUGAAGGAGAAACUGGAGACUGCCCUUUCUAAAUGAUCCCACUGUACAGUUGUGUUUGUAAUCUCAGUCCCUCCCAUGCAUGUCAUUGUCGAAAGAAAGGGGGGAGAUAAUCUUGCUUGUGACUAACAAAUGACUGUCAGCUUGUGCCAUUAAUAUUCUGUAAUCUAACUUAAUGUUGUUGUAUGAACU
rnacentral:misc_RNA from 1 species